GCUUUAUUGGCAUGGGAAACAUAUGUUAACAUUGCCAAAGCAAGUGAGGUAGAUAAUAUACAAAAGUGAAAUAAACAAUCAAAAUGAACAGUAAACAUUACACGUACAGAAGUUUCAAAAGAAUAAAGACAUUACAAAUGUCAUAUUAUGUAUAUAUACAGUGUUGUAACAAUGUACAAAUGGUUAAUGUACAAAAGGGAAAAUAAAUAAGCAUAAAUAUGGGUUUUAUUUACAGUGGUGUUUGUUCUUCACUGGUUGCCCUUUUCUUGUGGCAACAGGUCACAAAUCUUGCUGCGGUGAUGGCACACUGUGGUAUUUCACCCAGUAGAUAUGGGACUUUAUCAAAAUCGGGUUUGUUUUCGAAUUCUUUAUGGAUCUGUGUAAUCUGAGGGAAAUAUGUGUCUCUAAUAUGGUCAUACAUUGGGCAGGAGGUUAGAAAAUGCUCUCUCUGUCGCUCUCUUUCCCUCUUAUCCUUUCUCCCUCCCUCUCUCCCUCACUUUCCUUAUUUCCUACCCCCCCCACGUUCUCUUUCAACAUGAAAGCACAGAACAACAGACAGAGUAUGAACCACAUGAGUAACUGAGUAACAGUCUGGGUUGUGUUUCCCAUAAGCUUGGUAGCGUCGAGUAAAUUUUGAUCAACUAUCAAAAUUCCCAGAAAUCGUAUUUGGAGGAUUCCAGAUUCCCUGCUUAUUUCUUCAUAUUCUGGGAAUCUUUUAACCAGUAUUUCUGGAAAACCUGUGAAUUAGAAGGAAAGUUAUUGGAAUUUUGCAACCCUAGAUCCCACCUUAAUUACUCUUACCUUCAGUCAGAUGGCCAGGAGCAGGCAUGCAGGACAGACAACAGCUUAGCAGCACCUCCCAGUGGUGAGUGCCGGUAGUUGAGGCUGCAGCAGUAAUGUUACACCAUAAAGCUUCCCAGAGGAGGAAUCCUGAUCUACGAUAAGUUUUGCCUUAAUGUAUAAGAUUACUUAGGGAACCUGAUCCUAAAUCAGCACUCCUAGUCUAAGAUGCUUUACGAAUACAGGCCCAGGCAGGCGGAUAAUGACCACUGAACACCUCUUUUCAUCAUGCUCAUUAAUGUAUUAGAAAAUAGCAGGUCCCUGGUGAUAGAGACAGAACACAGCAGGCCCCUGCUGAUAGAGACAGAACACAGCAGGCCCCUGGUGAUAGAGACAGAACACAGCAGGUCCCUGGUGAUAGAGACAGAAGACAACAGGCCCCUGGUGAUAGAGACAGAACACAGCAGGCCCCUGGUGAUAGAGACAGAAGACAGCAGGCCCCUGGUGAUAGAGACAGAAGACAGCAGGCCCCUGGUGAUAGAGACAGAAGACAGCAGGUCCCUGGUGAUAGAGACAGAAGACAGCAGGUCCCUGGUGAUAGAGACAGAAAACAGCAGGUCCCUGGUGAUAGAGACAGAUUAGCUCAUCAGCUACACAGGUAAGAUCAGACACAACCUGACUGCCUCAACUGUUAGAACGUCUUUGAUUGCAUUGUGCUUAAUAACUGUUGUGUUUUACGUGGUUGUUACAACUGCUUUACAUGUGUGCUAAUACAUGUGAUUUACGAAUGUUUAUAACUGGUCUAAAACAUGUCUUAUGGAUGUUUAUAACUGGUCUAAAACAUGUCUUAUGGAUGUUUAUAACUGGUCUAAAACAUAUCUUAUGG
rnacentral:lncRNA from 1 species